UGUAACCACCAUAGGGAUAAGAAGCCCGGAAACUUCUCCGAAAAGGACAUCAGGACCUGCCAGGUCAGAAAGUUCACAUUACAGCAUCCUGAUAGGGAUGGGGUGGUGCACCUGUCUCUUGCGUCCUGACCCAGAACCCAGCCAGUUCUUGAUUCUCCUGCAUGCUUAACAGAAUCUAGCUCAUACAAAAAUUUUCCACCAAUAAGAACUUUGUGAAUCAAUGAGUGAAUUAUAAUCUUCAUUGGAAUGCUAUCUGGAUACAACAUGGAGGGGCUGAAUAGCGAACCCACAUCCUGGUGUGCUGUGGGGAUAACCUAAGACCGUUUGAUCUCCCACCAGGACAUCUCAGAGACAUUUCCUAUUAUCUGACUCCCUCAAGGGCAAAGCUACAUUGCAUGCUCCUCAGGAAGUCUUGGUAGCCAUCUAUCACUCCAGCAGAUUUGACGCCUUGUCCAUCAAUACUCGCGGCCAACACCCACUGCUUUCCUCCAUCUUUCACCAAAGACGGAUUAAUAUUUUUGAGCGGCUCUCAUAUGGCUGGAAUUGUGACAAGGUACUUUACAAAAUUAAAAGAUAUUAAUUCUACCCAC